rnacentral:lncRNA from 1 species
AUUGUUAGGCAGGCUGCCAAGAGCAUUGUGGCUAAUGGGCUUGCCCGAAGGUGCAUCGUGCAGGUCUCUUAUGCUAUUGGUGUGCCUGAGCCCUUGUCUGUCUUUGUAGACAGCUAUGGAACUGGAAAGAUUCCUGACAAAGAAAUCCUCCAAAUUGUGAAGGAGAACUUCGACUUCAGGCCCGGUAUGAUCACCAUCAACCUGGAUCUCAAGAGGGGUGGCAAUGGCCGGUUUUUGAAGACAGCUGCCUACGGACACUUUGGAAGGGACGACCCGGACUUCACCUGGGAAGUUGUGAAGCCCCUCAAGUGGGAGAAGCCUCAGUCUUAAAAUCCAGCUUUGGCUGUCCUCGAAUGUCUCUAAUCUCAUACAUAUGAUGCCCCCCAUUCAUUUUCAUUUUCAUUUUCUUAUUUGUUCUCUUUCACCUUUAAUUGUGUCCUGUCAAUGUCGUGUUGCAAAAAUGUAUGAGAAUUUUGCUUAUAUUGAUGCCACUGGAAGUAAA